GUGGGGAAUUUUGGACAAUGGGCGAAAGCCUGAUCCAGCCAUUCCGCGUGAGUGAAGAAGGCCUUCGGGUUGUAAAGCUCUUUCGCAAGGAAAGAAAACUUAUCUCCUAAUACGAGGUGAGGAUGACGGUACCUUGAUAAGAAGCACCGGCUAACUACGUGCCAGCAGCCGCGGUAAUACGUAGGGUGCGAGCGUUAAUCGGAAUUACUGGGCGUAAAGCGUGCGCAGGCGGUUUUGUAAGUCAGAUGUGAAAUCCCCGGGCUCAACCUGGGAACUGCGUUUGAAACUACAAGGCUAGAGUGUAGAAGAGGGGGGUAGAAUUCCACGUGUAGCAGUGAAAUGCGUAGAGAUGUGGAGGAAUACCGAUGGCGAAGGCAGCCCCCUGGGCUAACACUGACGCUCAUGCACGAAAGCGUGGGGAGCAAACAGGAUUAGAAACCCUAGUAGUCC
rnacentral:rRNA from 1 species